rnacentral:rRNA from 1 species
AUUGAACGCUGGCGGCAGGCCUAACACAUGCAAGUCGAGCGGAUGACGGGAGCUUGCUCCUGGAUUCAGCGGCGGACGGGUGAGUAAUGCCUAGGAAUCUGCCUGGUAGUGGGGGACAACGUUUCGAAAGGAACGCUAAUACCGCAUACGUCCUACGGGAGAAAGCAGGGGACCUUCGGGCCUUGCGCUAUCAGAUGAGCCUAGGUCGGAUUAGCUAGUUGGUGAGGUAAUGGCUCACCAAGGCGACGAUCCGUAACUGGUCUGAGCGGAUGAUCAGUCACACUGGAACUGAGACACGGUCCAGACUCCUACGGGAGGCAGCAGUGGGGAAUAUUGGACAAUGGGCGAAAGCCUGAUCCAGCCAUGCCGCGUGUGUGAAGAAGGUCUUCGGAUUGUAAAGCACUUUAAGUUGGGAGGAAGGGCAGUAAGCGAAUACCUUGCUGUUUUGACGUUACCGACAGAAUAAGCACCGGCUAACUCUGUGCCAGCCGCCGCGGUAAAAC